ensembl:lncRNA
GAUAGGGUCUCUCUGUGUAGCCCUGGCUCUCUUGGAACUCACUCUGCAGACCAAGCUGGCCUAGAGCUUACAGAGGAGCUUCCGCCUCCUAAGUGCUGGGAUUGAAGACUUGCACCACUACUUGCUGGAGACCAAACCCCACAGCCUUCAUGCUGUCCGAGUAUCUGAGGUGCGUCCAGGAGCAUUUAUAGGUGUAUGGUUUUGUGGUGUUGAAUGCGUUGUGCAUCCAUAACUACCGUCAUCUCCAGAAUGUCUUCUUCUUGUGGAAACUUUUGAGAACAUUAAAACCCAGUUUUCCUUGCCCCUUGACACCUAGCAACCAGCUCACUACUUUAUGCCU